rnacentral:rRNA from 1 species
GGAUAACUACUGGAAACGGUAGCUAAUACCGCAUAACGUCGCAAGACCAAAGAGGGGGACCUUAGGGCCUCUUGCCAUCGGAUGUGCCCAGAUGGGAUUAGCUUGUAGGUGAGGUAACGGCUCACCUAGGCGACGAUCCCUAGCUGGUCUGAGAGGAUGACCAGCCACACUGGAACUGAGACACGGUCCAGACUCCUACGGGAGGCAGCAGUGGGGAAUAUUGCACAAUGGGCGCAAGCCUGAUGCAGCCAUGCCGCGUGUAUGAAGAAGGCCUUCGGGUUGUAAAGUACUUUCAGCGGGGAGGAAGGGAGUGAGGUUAAUAACCUCAUUCAUUGACGUUACCCGCAGAAGAAGCACCGGCUAACUCCGUGCCAGCAGCCGCGGUAAUACGGAGGGUGCGAGCGUUAAUCGGAAUUACUGGGCGUAAAGCGCACGCAGGCGGUCUGUCAAGUCGGAUGUGAAAUCCCCGGGCUCAACCUGGGAACUGCAUUCGAAACUGGCAGGCUGGAGUCUUGUAGAGGGGGGUAGAAUUCCAGGUGUAGCGGUGAAAUGCGUAGAGAUCUGGAGGAAUACCGGUGGCGAAGGCGGCCCCCUGGACAGAGACUGACGCUCAGGUGCGAAAGCGUGGGGAGCAAACAGGAUUAGAUACCCUGGUAGUCCACGCUGUAAACGAUGUCGACUUGGAGGUUGUUCCCUUGAGGAGUGGCUUCCGGAG